rnacentral:rRNA from 1 species
GCCAGACUCCUACGGGAGGCAGCAGUGGGGAAUAUUGCACAAUGGGGGAAACCCUGAUGCAGCGACGCCGCGUGAGUGAAGAAGUAUUUCGGUAUGUAAAGCUCUAUCAGCAGGGAAGAAAAUGACGGUACCUGACUAAGAAGCCCCGGCUAACUACGUGCCAGCAGCCGCGGUAAUACGUAGGGGGCAAGCGUUAUCCGGAUUUACUGGGUGUAAAGGGAGCGUAGACGGAAAGGCAAGUCAGGAGUGAAAGCCCGGGGCCCAACCCCGGGACUGCUCUUGGAACUGCGUGGCUGGAGUGCAGGAGGGGCAGGCGGAAUUCCUGGUGUAGCGGUGAAAUGCGUAGAUAUCAGGAGGAACACCGGUGGCGAAGGCGGCCUGCUGGACUGCAACUGACGUUGAGGCCCGAAAGCGUGGGGAGCAAACAGGAUUAGAUACCCGCGUA